UUUCGCCCAAUCCCCCCCGCGUGCUCCGCUCCCAAUACUCGUCGCAAGCCAGAGCCCACACCCGCACCAACCCUAGCCUCCACACCUCACCUUCUCACAGCCGCCGCUCCAUUCCUCCCUUCCGCCCCCUCCUCCUUCCCGGAUCCCCACCACGGCGCCGACCUGCAGGCAAAGGGCGACAGCGGCGGCGCUCAGUUAGAUUUGUAGGAGAGAGAAGAUGAGAGGGAGAGAGAGGAGGGAGAAAGAGAGGAAGAGGAGAGGAGGCACGGCGUCGGAUGGGAGAGAGCAGGGGAGGGCCAAGAGGCCAACGGUGUGGGGUGGAGCAGCGAUGCCGAAGACAGGGCAGCGGACGCCUCACGGGGUGGAGGAGAGGUCGAUGGGCGGAGCCGUUCGCUCGCCGGACGUGGCGGCGCCAGGUUCCAGAUCGGACGCAGGUUAGGUGAGGGCGUGAGGCCGAUGGUGGUCCUUCUCAACCCGAGCUCACCUCACCCUCGCGGCGGCGACCAGCAGCUCGAGUAGGAAUGGUAAGGGCCCGUCAAGAUCUGGCCGGUGCCGUGCUCCCUGGCGCCCGCACAUAGCGGACUGUCCUCUGAUGGAGCAUAGGAGCAGCGGUCGCGGUUGGACGCCAUGAGCUGCCUGAGGUGAGGAACGGGCGCGCCCAACACCGUCCUCCAAUAAGUCCUUCCCGGUAGAGAAAGCCAACUCUCGGAUUUCAGUAAGGAAGGCGCGGCCACCAUGCCAUGUCCAUGGCACCAUCGACCCUUCACCCGCCUCCUCUUUGAAGUGCAGCACCAUCGUACCCCCUUUGGCCCUUCCCGCCCAGUUUUGCCUCACCAUAGGAGGAAUACGGGAGCUGCCUGCCUGCCUGCUACCCCAAAAGGAUGCGUCACCCAGUGGAAAUGCCUCUGUUGAGCUUAUGUGCUCACUGGUUUUGGUUCAGUUUGAAGGGCUCUCGGGACAAAAGAUAAUUGAGUUGUUGAAUCUGAAUGGGCGCCGCGAGGAGUGGAGGAUCGAGGUCGUGGGUUGCCAGCUUCAAAUUUUGGUUGAGCACUUCCUCAAUAAUCUUGUUGAGGUGUCUGUUUCCCCUCUUUGUGUCAUGAAUGAUUGUGUUGGCUGCAGGCUCUCCGCAAGGAGUUGAAGGCUGAGGUCAUGGUUGCCAGCUUCAAUUUUUUGCUGAGCAAUUCCUCAAGAGUCUUGCCAAGAUCUGAGGAUGAAGGGAAGAAGAAGGAUUUAACUAAAGAGUUGAAGAAGAUGAAGGUGAAUUUUCUUCCCUUUGUUCUUCUAUUCUGAUGUUAAGAUUUGUGAUGGCUAGAUGAGAUUUGUGGUGAAAAUUUCCCAUUCUUUUAUUUACCUACAUAUCUUGAAUGCACGAUUGAUGAUUUUGCUGGAUAGGUUACAAAUCUAAAUAAUAAACAUUUUUAAAUGAUGUGGUUGGUACACAUGCGAAGCUAAGAAAAUAUAUAGUUUACUCACAGUGUUGUUUGAUCCAUUGUUGUGUGACAGGCUCGCUGAUGGUCUGGCAAUGCUGCAUAUACAUCUGAAUGCCAAUGAUAGUAUGGUUUAGAUAGACAAGUUAAUAAUUUCUUUUUCUUCAUCAAGUUUACGCUUCCAUUGAUCUACAUUUAAUUUAAUUCACAAACCCGACACCCUUUGGAGUAGCCAAUGUGUAUCUCUGAAUCUUGGCACUUGGGUAUUAUAUGUAUUUCAUUGGUUCAUCGCACAUUGUAGCAAUGCAUGGGCCAGAGACAAUCGGCGAUAAAAACGAUCUGCUUGCAAGUUCUAUAUUACCAGCGGAGGCUUUGCCAAGAGGAAGGGUAAUUCGUGCAGGGGAAUAAACCCUACAUGUGCUUGCUUCGUUGGAACAUGUUCAUUUGGCUAAUAAAACAGUACACAUCUCUCUUGAAUUAUGUGCAUCUCCUUUUUAGUUAUUUGAUUUUUUUAGUGACUCGCUAAUUGGAAAAUCGGGAUGCUAAAACUUGGCAUAAUGAAUUCUUGAAUUACGUACUUCUUAUUGUGCAUGUCAAACUAAGGACUAAAUAUAUUUUUAGUUGAGAUAUUGUUUUGAGUAUUUCUCUGCAACAACUUAAAUUACUUUUUGCAAAUAAAAUGAGCUAGCAUAUGCUAUACUUGCAAUGGUAAAUUAAUUAUGCAGUUCUGAGGAUUGAGGAAAUUAAUGGUCAGUCGUUCAUUGAGGGUUUGAAAGAGCCAUCGAGGCAACGAUCUCAUUUCAUCUCAUGCAUUGAUUUUGUUAUCUUCUUUAUAUGGCAUUUUAUUAAUUAUUUAUAUAUAUUUGCCGUAUUGCUGUUUCUAAAAAUUGCUGUAUCCUUUGUCCCCAUUUCCGUAUCGCUGUAUCUGUGUUGCCGGUGCACCAUAGCAAUUACUUAUUGAAGAAAAAUGUCCCUUUUCUUGUUCCCAUUGCUCGAUAAGCAUGAUCGCAUUUCUACCGAUUGAUUAUAAAUAUGGCCUUUCUUUUGAUUAUUUGAUGGUACUUCUGAUUGGCACUAUGAGGUCCUUCUUUGUCGUGUAGAUUCAUCCUUUACUUAAAUACUGAUGAUGAUAUGGUUGUAAAUUAGUCUGGUAUAUGCCAACAGUUGUCUCUCCCAGAAGAAUUUUUGUGAGAAUAGCGUACCUAAAGAGUUGGUUGUUUGUCUGGAUUGAACACCCAACUAUAAGAAUGGGUUGACAACACCGAUUGACUCUAUUGGCGCUUCUAUGUUGUCCAGCUUCAUCAUUUACUUAUACACUGAUGAUAUUGUUGUCAGCGUGUUGUAAGUACUUUGGGAAACAAGUCUGGUAUAUUACAAUGAUGUAGUCCUGCAGAUCAGUACAGGUCACCGGCUUUAUAUUGUUGUCAGCGUGUUGUAAGUACUUUGGGAAACAAGUUCUGGGGUAAGUUUACCUGCUUGCUCAUGCAUUUUAAUACUUGAUUGAUGUCCUGAUAAUUUGUGAAGUUCUGUGUACCAUGUGAUAAGCUGCACAUCAGGUUGCAUGGCAGCUUGUUUGUUGCUUUUAGGAUGUGCAUGUACCCAGGUGGAUCAAAUACAGAUACCAAUCAUAUAUUAUUAUUUUUACUCGUGUUUUUUUUUUGUGCCUGCCAAACAUUUCGAAAAUUGAUUAUAUCAUUCAGAUGUAUUCAGGCUGGGUUUCUGUGAUCCAAAAAAAUCAUCUGCCAUGGCUUUCUUUUUACAUACAAAACUAAGUGUGGAGCAGUGUAUAUUUUCAUUGCUUUCUUAUCACAUCACAUUUGUCGGAGGUGUUGUACUGAUUUGAAGGAAAUGCUUUUAUAUUUCCAAGUUGAUCAACUACACAACUUCUGAUCCUAAAGCCUUUCUUUAAAAGGGGCUGGUCAAUGCAGCUCCAUGUUGUGCUAUCUUGCUAUUGGGCUCUUUUUUCGUUACUUAAAAUGGUCAGAUAUCUCUGAUGUUAAAUUCGUGGUUGAUUGCUUAUAUCCAAAAUAACUAUUUUAGUACACUGAAGCCAAUUUCUAAAUUGUUAGUGAAGUUGGCUAAAUAGUUUUUGCGCCACUAAGAUAUAUGUGCACUGCAUUCUAACCCUGUAAAUUGUUGUGCUAUUAGUUUAAUCCAGAAUAUAAUUAUGUUAUAUUCUGCUUUUGUCAGUUUGCUGGUCCAUAUUAAUUUCCUCGAGCUUAUUUUCACAUCUCGUCAUAUUUACACCUCUCUGCCAACUGCCACCUAUCAUGGAGGGAGAUGGCUUGGCCAGGCCGUCAACACCCAUCGGCAACUUCCGGCAGGCGCCGUCCCGUUCUUCCUCCCCUUACUCUGAUGCCUUCAUGGCCAAAAUCAUUAGCAGGAGCAAGAAGGUUAAGCGCCAAUUAUGGUUAAAGCUUUGUCUCUUUUGUGUACUAUGCAUGAUUGAUCUCAUUUUGCUGGCCAGCUUACAAAUUCAAGUAAUACGACUAUUGCAAUGCAUCUUACUACGUGUGUAUUUAUUUGCAUUGAUAUUUUCUCCUUCUUGGGCUCCAAAUCGUUUGUGGGUCAUAAGUUAUUGUGCAUUAUUGAUGAUUAAUUUGCAAUUUAAAUGACAACAGGGUUGGGUUUUAUAAGUGUAAUGGCUUGAAAUGUGACCUUUCAUUCAAGAUAUUUUGUCAGUGAGAAGCUUAUGUGAAGAAUGAUGUAAUUAAGUUAGCAAUUUACAGUUCUCUUUGAUAAUUGUAACUGAAUUGUCAAUGGCCAGUUCUCUUGAAUAAUGAGUUACUCCCUCAAUUUUACAAUAGAGAUAAUUUGUCAAAAUUGUGUUUUUGUAAUGUUUGUGGUCUUCUUUUCUCUUUUUUUUGAUUUGUAUUGUAUAUGCUAUUUGCAUAUUUGAACAUGCAUAGGGCCUCUCAGUCUUUAACCUUGACUAUAAAAAUCCAUUGAUGGAAGCUGGGGAGGGCCGAGAUGAACAUCCGGCUCGAGCCAUCGAGAUGGUAGAGACGACGUUUCCAUGUCACCUACUCCAGCAGCCGGACAAGGCAUAUAAAAACCAGCAGCCGGACAAGGCAUAUAAAAAUCAUGGAUCCUUGCUCCCUAGGCCACAAAAUGAUCACUCGUAGAUGUAUGAAUCUCAAUCUCAUGUUUGGUUUUCUUCCCUUUUCUCUUCUAAUGAUGUAAUUUCUUUUACUAAGAUAACAUCAUGCUUGUUGCAAUGCCUUAUUUGAUGUAAGAUCCCUUUUCUACUUUGAAUGAAUUUACUGCAUAUAUUUCUUAU